CACACUUCUGAUGUGCAACAAUGUUUGAAAAGCAUAAAGCCCUUCAGACCAGGGAGGUGAGGGGCAGGGGAGCUGGUGAGUCAUUUCUACAAAUCCCUCAAGCUUGACUAGUUGCUAUAUAUACACACAUAUUCCUUCACAUCCAGUUAAAAGCAUCUUGAAGGAAAGAAUCAUCAUGAGCCUUUAAGAUACCGCAAGUCCCCAUUCUCAGAGGAAGAGGAGAGCUGGUCCGCGUGCGCCUAGGGGUAUGUCUGUCUACACAGAACGUGCCGUGUCCAGAGAGCAGCACAACUCGAGAUUGCAUUACCCAGCUCAGAGCAAACACAGUUAGCUGGGCUGUGACAGAGGGGACCUGUGUCUGGGAUAUUGCUCUGGAGCUGUGCGCCCCAUGUAACGAGGUUGUCAGAGCCCGUCAUGGCAGAAACACGAAUGAUUGUGAAUAAAUGGACAGCUCCCAUGAACUCCGCCUUGCGACAGCGCUGGCCCACCCAGAUGCUAUCGGUGGAGACAGACUCUGUUUCUCACUCGGAAUGUGCAAAUGGCUGGGAAGAAAUGUUUCCGAGCUUCCCCAGGAAAGAGGCCAGGCUCUUGGCUUCAGCCGGGAUCUGCUGUCUGCGAGGAGAGUGACAGAAGCCUGACAAAUGGCAACAAUUAAAGAGGCAAGAAGCAAAAGGACGUGUCCCGUCCUGACAGAUGGCCGCCAGCGCGCCCCUGGCGUCGUCACCAGACUGCAGACUGUCCUGUGCUCCAUAUCAGCCCUCCUGACUCUAGCUGGUCACACCCUCACCUGCUCAGGCCCGCUGUCCUGAGACCUAGCGUCCACACAAGUGACUGGGAGGACUGGGCUACUCCAGACUGAAUAGCAGGGACAUUAAACCACAGAGAAUUCCCUAAAACCAGCCACGCCAAGGCCCACAGUCCCAACCCUGACCUCCAGGACGACCUGGAGUGGCGUGAGUCUCUCUCACCUUGACUCCUCGAGGACCUGGGUAGCCAAUCGGACCCUGGGGGCCAGGUGGACCCUAAAACCAAACAGAAAAAGACCGUUAGCCCCAUGCCAGUGUGGAGGUGCCUGGGGAACAUCAGGAAACUCCAGAGUUCGGCAUACCCCUCCUGCUGAGAGCAGGGCGAACAUCCCAGCUCAGAGCCUCCAGAGAGGCCCCCCGUGGGAGACUCGCACAGGUGUUCACAGCCUGCACUGACAGUGGAGGUGUGGCUGUGUCUCAUGCUGAGCGGGACACAGAGGUGAAGCAAACGCUGGCCCCACCCCGGCAGUCAGGGAAAUAAGGGAUAGGCUGGGGGAACAGUGAGACGGUGAAAGGUCAGCGUUGGAGCUCUGCAAGGAGUGUUGUCCCUAAAGAAAUGCAUUCCCAGCCUAAGGUCCUUGGAAUAAAUCAGGAGAGCUUCCGGCUGGGAGAAGGGACAAGGCUGCUAGACAGGGAAGAGACAUCCUCCAGCAGCCAAGGGCCUCGCCGAUGCUCAACUAGAGCUCAUGGGGGUGGGCAUCCAGCCCCCAUGCCCCCAGCCCAAGACUCCAGCAUGAUGAACGGCUCCCACCGCCUCCCUCCCAGCCCCCUUUCCACAUGGUGUCACGGCAGCGGCUGGAGCUCCCAGGCAGGAUGGGCUUGGUGGCCUCCUCUGCAAGGCUGCAGCUCUGAGGCCCGGGCCCGGUCUGCCUUGCUCCCUGCUGUAUCCCAUCGCUAACAGGAUGCCUGGCACAUAGAGGAACUCAGGAAGUCCCAGGGAGUAAGUGAAUGCCUCUCGUUCCAGUUGAAAAGCCAGCUCUCAGAACAGUGGGCCUGUGCUGUGGGCUCCAAGUGCCAACCACCUGUCAGCACCAGUUCCGGGCACUGUGCGAGCUCUGGUGGCCCCAGGUGCUGCCUCCACCUCUGAUGAUAAGAGGCUGUGCCCAGGGAGGAGGGCUGGUAAACUCCCCACUGGAGGCAGCGGGAACUGGGUCUCCCAUGGUGAACGGAAGCCAAGGGCCGAGGGGAGGGUUCACCCCAGUGGCUGCUGCGACCUUCAAGAGAGGGAACGGGGCAGAAGUGGCGAAUCUCAGACCGCUCUGGGUCUCAGAGGCAGCACGUUGGAGAAGUGCCACUGCCCAGCAGGCCUGGCACUGGAAAUUGAACUCCCUGUGAGGACUGGCGCUAGCUCUGCUGCCCUGGAGGGUCAGUCCUGGCCUACCACACCCUUGGCAAGGGGAGCUGGGACCAGGCCCCAGACCCCAUCUUGCCUGCACAGGCCCUGCUUCAAGAGAUAAAUGUUAAUCAGGCCCGAUUCCAGAGCCUGUGACAACUGGGGCCUCUGGAACCCUGGAGCAGGUGGGCCUCUGCCCUCAGCCCCAGGCUCCCGACGACCAUGAGCUCGGUGUGCGGUUUCAACACACAAGAAAAGCAGUCUUGGGGUGAACGAAGGUUGGCGCACACCAGGACAGCAAGAGCAGUCCCCACUGGCUACUCCUCCCGUCUGGAGGCUCUUCCCACAGAGGUGCUUGCAGCCCAGCAGCUUUGUCAUGAAUCGCAGUGGAGAGAAGGCGCUGGUGGACGUGCUGCAUGGGACCCUCGCAGCCCAGCAGGCCCCGCAGGAGGAACCACAAGCCGCUCACAGUGUCGGACACAGUCAUCCAUAGAAAGACUCCAUCCCUGGCACCGGCGUGACCUGGAAAACUGAGAGCACCAGAAGUCGAAGGCAGCUGGCCAGGCAGCCAAGCACAGCCCGGCCUCCCCGAGCCGCCAGGCCCUGAACCUCGGCUGCUCCAUCUGCAAAAUGGGAACAAUAAGCCUGACCCUGGCCCAACCCCGGCCAAGGCCAGAGACUUGCGGGGAGUAUGCAGCAACCCCCAAGUGCACAGGUGACCUGCACGGUGGCUCCUGACCCGGCCAGAGCCAGCCCGCCCUCCAGUGCAGGUCCACAGACCAGUGACCCACGAGUGGGGACAGGGCCAACAAGGGCCUCUUCCCCAGGUCACCUGACAAGAUGAAUCUGCACAAUAAUGAGCUGGGACCAGGUUCCUGGCAUCCCUGCUUCCCGGACUAGCAAUUGCUGAGCUGUCUGCAAACCUUGGAAUCUCUGAUUGUUGGGGAACCAAAAGCAAAGCAAGGUUGGUGCGGGGUGGAGGGCUAAGGCGUGUUACUUGACUGAGGGGUCCCAGCACAUCCGUGAGUCUUCAAACAGCUGCCUCGUUUGAGACCCACACCCUCGGGUCUCCACCUGGCCUCGGGGAUGGAGGGGAGCUGAGCGAAGGUGAGGACCUAUGCCCCAUGUGACAGGUACCCAGCCGAGGCUCUAGGAAGGACCUGUGUCUCCUGCCUGCCUGGGCCUGUACUAAUUCCAUUCCUAGGAAUGCAGGUUUCUCUGACUUUCCAACCCAGGCGGGUCACUCGGUUUAAUGCCUGUGAGCUCAGGAUCGGUGAGCCAAACUUCCAGGAUAAAAGCAGAAAGAUCAUCAAUGUUCACUGUGCAGAAAUGCAGUUCCACCAACGAGGAUUCCAGGAAAGAGGCUGGGCAGGGUGAUGAGAAGGCUGGCAGGGUGGGUUCUACUCCUGGACACACUCAACCUGCUGUGUGAGCUUGGGCAGGUCACUUGCCCUCUCUGGGCCUCCCGCUUCCUCAGGUAUAACACGAGAGGGUGGCAAGAUGCUCUUCUACCUUGAGUGGCCUAACGUUGAUCUGAGACUCUUUCUAGACACAGUAGCAUUAAGAAGACCCAAGUCUCGUUGCCUCAAUUAAAUGGUUCGUGUGUGACUUUUAAGUUUUUAUUAGCUGUCCAAUUGGGUUUGAUGCCUUUGCAGACAGCCUAUCCUAGCAGACAGCCUAUCCUAGCAGCAAGUGAGUGGGAGGGCGCAAAGUUCCCCUUGAGGGAGGCUUUGAGGAAGUCCAGGCACCUGCGGGACCUCACCCGCUGCUCCAGCUGGGAGGGGACGUGCUUGGCCACCACGCCGCCUUCCGGAAACAAGGCUCAUGGCGCCAGCACCUCAGAGUGGCCGGGCUGGACCUGAACAGAGCCAACUAGAGGGUGUCCUGGUCCAGGGUGGCCAGGAGGGGUUCUUUGUGGCCCUUUAUUACACUUUCUAUCAGCCACAGACACCUUUCUGUGAAGGACCUAGUGGGUGGAUCUGCAGGGGGGCCGAGAGCCCGGCUCUGGACCGGGCAGACCCAGCCCCGGCUGCUCGAGGAAGCCCCCAGGCCUCUCCACGUGGUCAUUUCCUCAGUUCCAGGCUGGAGAUAACAGCACAUCUGCACACAGCGCCGCUGCGGAGACGCACAGAGCGUUUGCAAGGGGCUCAGAACUGCGCCCACCCAGGGAGCACCAAGCAGAGUUAGCGGCCGGCAUCACGGCGGCCUCCAUUCCCAUCCAGGCCAAAUUCCUUUAGGUAUAUUUUCAGUUACAGAUAGAGAAUGAGAGUAAAGCAGUGGGGGGAAGCACAAAGCUCCCUUACUAAAAAAUGUUUGAACAGGAAAAGGCAGAAAGGAAACGUAACAAGAUAACCACGACUGAUUUUCCUGCAAAGCCGGGCAGGGCCGCUUUCCCCUUUCUUUCUACUUGUGUGUGUUUCCCAAUAUUCUAUAAUGAGCAGUGCUUCUGUAAUGGGAAAAUAAUAAAGCUUACAUUAUUUGUAUUUGAUAUUUUCUGAUUAAAAAAGUAACGUAUGUUCAUCAUAGACAAUUAGGCAACUGGAAGAGGAAUUAAAAUCCUUCAUCACCUCA